UUGCACAUUCCCCAGCCUGG
rnacentral:miRNA from 1 species